UACGUAGGGUGCAAGCGUUGUCCGGAAUUAUUGGGCGUAAAGAGCUCGUAGGCGGUUUGUUGCGUCGGCUGUGAAAUCCCGAGGCUCAACCGCGGGUCUGCAGUCGAUACGAGCAAACUAGAGUGUUGCAGGGGAGACUGGAAUUCCUAGUGUAGCGGUGAAAUGCGCAGAUAUCAGGAGGAACACCGGUGGCGAAGGCGGUGCUCUGGGCAUGUCCUGACGCUGAGGAGCGAAAGUGUGGGGAGCGAACAGG
rnacentral:rRNA from 1 species